rnacentral:rRNA from 1 species
UUUCUCCCUAAGGGGUGCCUGCGGAAGGAU